rnacentral:rRNA from 1 species
CCGGCGCUAACACCGCCGGCCCCGAAAUGGAGUGGCGGCCUGUCCGCGGCGACCUCUGCGUAGUAAUAUCCACUCGCACCGGGACCCGGGCGCGGCCACGCCGUUAAACACCCCACCUUCCGAAUGUUGACCUCGAAUCAGGUAGGAAUACCCGCUGAACUUAAGCAUAUCAAUAAGCGGAGGAAAAGAAACCAACAGGGAUUGCCCCAGUAACGGCGAGUGAAGCGGCAACAGCUCAAAUUUGAAAUCUGGUCCCCAGGGCCCGAGUUGUAAUUUGUAGAGGAUGCUUUUGGCGAGGCGCCUUCCGAGUUCCCUGGAACGGGACGCCACAGAGGGUGAGAGCCCCGUCUGGUCGGAUGCCAAGCCUAUGUAAAGCUCCUUCGACGAGUCGAGUAGUUUGGGAAUGCUGCUCAAAAUGGGAGGUAUAUGUCUUCUAAAGCUAAAUACCGGCCAGAGACCGAUAGCGCACAAGUAGAGUGAUCGAAAGAUGAAAAGCACUUUGAAAAGAGGGUUAAAAAGUACGUGAAAUUGUUGAAAGGGAAGCGCCUAUGACCAGACUUGGGCCCGGUGAAUCAUCCAGCGUUCUCGCUGGUGCACUUUGCCGGGCACAGGCCAGCAUCAGUUUGGCGCGGGGGAUAAAGGCUUCGGGAAUGUGGCUCCCCUCGGGGAGUGUUAUAGCCCGUUGUGUAAUACCCUGCGCCGGACUGAGGUACGCGCUCCGCAAGAUGCGUUUCUAAGUGCAGCGU